UACGGGGGGGGUAAGCGUUGUUCGGAAUUACUGGGCGUAAAGGGCUCGUAGGCGGCCAACUAAGUCAUACGUGAAAUCCCUCAGCUUAACUGGGGAACUGCGUGUGAUACUGGAUGGCUUGGAUUUGGGAGAGGGUUGCGGAAUUCCAGGUGUAGCGGUGAAAUGCGUAGAUAUCUGGAGGAACACCGGUGGCGAAGGCGGCAUCCUGGACCAAUAUUGACGCUGAGGAGCGAAAGCCAGGGGAGCAAACGGG
rnacentral:rRNA from 1 species